rnacentral:rRNA from 1 species
GACGAACGCUGGCGGCGUGCUUAACACAUGCAAGUCGAACGGAGCACCCCUGAUCGAGGUUUCGGCCAAGUGAAGGGAAUGCUUAGUGGCGGACUGGUGAGUAACGCGUGAGGAACCUGCCUUCCAGAGGGGGACAACAGUUGGAAACGACUGCUAAUACCGCAUGACGCAUGACCGGGGCAUCCCGGACAUGCCAAAGAUUUAUCGCUGGAAGAUGGCCUCGCGUCUGAUUAGCUAGUAGGCGGGGUAACGGCCCACCUAGGCGACGAUCAGUAGCCGGACUGAGAGGUUGACCGGCCACAUUGGGACUGAGAUACGGCCCAGACUCCUACGGGAGGCAGCAGUGGGGAAUAUUGGGCAAUGGACGCAAGUCUGACCCAGCAACGCCGCGUGAAGGAAGAAGGCUUUCGGGUUGUAAACUUCUUUUGUCAGGGAACAGUAGAAGAGGGUACCUGACGAAUAAGCCACGGCUAACUACGUG